UCCGAAUUGGUGUAGUGGUUAACAUUUCACGCUCUCAGUUCACGCUUUCAAUUCGAGAGCGCGGUUGUAGUGCCGUGGAGCCCGGGGUUCGAUUCCCCGAUUCGGAG